rnacentral:rRNA from 1 species
GACAGAGGCCUCAAGCGUUAGGCGGAAUCACUGGGCUUAAAGCGCGUGUAGGCGGGCCGCCCCGUCGGCUGCUGAAAUCCCCCGGCUCAACCGGGGAACGGGCACCGAUACGAGCGGCCUGGAGGGGGUAGGGGGGUCUGGAACUUCCGGUGGAGCGGUGAAAUGCGUUGAGAUCGGAAGGAACGCCCGUGGCGAAAGCGAGGCCCUGGACCCUUACUGACGCUGAGACGCGAAAGCCAGGGGAGCGAACGGG